AACGAACGCUGGCGGCAGGCUUAACACAUGCAAGUCGAACGCCCCGCAAGGGGAGUGGCAGACGGGUGAGUAACGCGUGGGUAUGUGCCCAAAGGUUCGGAACAACUCCGGGAAACUGGAGCUAAUACCGAAUGUGACCGAGAGGUGAAAGAUUUAUCGCCUUUGGAUCAGCCCGNGUUGGAUUAGCUAGUUGGUGGGGUAAAGCCUACCAAGGCGACGAUCCAUAGCUGGUCUGAGAGGACGACCAGCCACACUGGGACUGAGACACGCCAGACUCCUACGGAGGCAGCAGUGGGGAAUCUUGGACAAUGGGCGAAAGCCUGAUCCAGCCAUGCGCGUGGAUGAU
rnacentral:rRNA from 1 species